AGUAACCUCUUUGCUUUGUUGCAACAGUGGAGGCUCCACAGAUUGUGGUGAAGGGAGUGGUGGGAGUAUGGCCUGAGCUUCUGUGGUAUGAAUAGCCACCAAAGGCACACUAGCAUCCUUUGGCAUGUUCUUCUCUAUUAUUUCUUCCUUCACUUUAGGUGAUUCAGGAGAGUCAACCUGACACAUCUUUUCAAAUUCCUCUUCUGUCCAUUGCUCUUCAUAGGAACGCACCUCUCUUGCUCGUUUUCCCCUUCCAUAUUGCUGAGUAUCAAGGCCCCCAAGCUUCUGUCCCUUCCGCUUCACCCCAACAUUAGG
rnacentral:misc_RNA from 1 species